rnacentral:rRNA from 1 species
UACGGGGGGAGCAAGCGUUUGUUCGGAUUUACUGGGCGUAAAGGGCGCGUAGGCGGCCACCGCAAGUCAGUUGUGAAAUCUCUGGGCUUAACCCGAGAAGGUCAACUGAUACGUGCGGGCUAGAGUGCAGAAGGGGGCAACUGGAAUUCUCGGUGUAGCGGUGAAAUGCGUAGAUAUCGAGAGGAACACCUGCGGCGAAGGCGGGUUGCUGGGCUGACACUGACGCUGAGGCGCGAAAGCUAGGGGAGCGAACGGG